rnacentral:rRNA from 1 species
GAUGAACGCUGGCGGCGUGCCUAAUACAUGCAAGUCGAGCGAACGGACGAGAAGCUUGCUUUUCUGAUGUUAGCGGCGGACGGGUGAGUAACACGUGGAUAACCUACCUAUAAGACUGGGAUAACUUCGGGAAACCGGAGCUAAUACCGGAUAAUAUUUUGAACCGCAUGGUUCAAAAGUGAAAGACGGUCUUGCUGUCACUUAUAGAUGGAUCCGCGCUGCAUUAGCUAGUUGGUAAGGUAACGGCUUACCAAGGCAACGAUGCAUAGCCGACCUGAGAGGGUGAUCGGCCACACUGGAACUGAGACACGGUCCAGACUCCUACGGGAGGCAGCAGUAGGGAAUCUUCCGCAAAGGGCGAAAGCCUGACGGAGCAACGCCGCGUGAGUGAUGAAGGUCUUCGGAUCGUAAAACUCUGUUAUUAGGGAAGAACAUAUGUGUAAGUAACUGUGCACAUCUUGACGGUACCUAAUCAGAAAGCCACGGCUAACUACGUG